UGAACGCUGGCGGCGUGCCUAAUACAUGCAAGUCGAACGAGUUCUCGUUGAUGAUCGGUGCUUGCACCGAGAUUCAACAUAGAACGAGUGGCGGACGGGUGAGUAACACGUGGGUAACCUGCCCUUAAGUGGGGGAUAACAUUUGGAAACAGAUGCUAAUACCGCAUAGAUCCAAGAACCGCAUGGUUCUUGGCUGAAAGAUGGCGUAAGCUAUCGCUUUUGGAUGGACCCGCGGCGUAUUAGCUAGUUGGUGAGGUAAUGGCUCACCAAGGCGACGAUACGUAGCCGAACUGAGAGGUUGAUCGGCCACAUUGGGACUGAGACACGGCCCAAACUCCUACGGGAGGCAGCAGUAGGGAAUCUUCCACAAUGGACGCAAGUCUGAUGGAGCAACGCCGCGUGAGUGAAGAAGGCUUUCGGGUCGUAAAACUCUGUUGUUGGAGAAGAAUGGUCGGCAGAGUAACUGUUGUCGGCGUGACGGUAUCCAACCAGAAAGCCACGGCUAACUACGUGCCAGCAGCCGCGGUAAUACGUAGGUGGCAAGCGUUAUCCGGAUUUAUUGGGCGUAAAGCGAGCGCAGGCGGUUUUUUAAGUCUGAUGUGAAAGCCCUCGGCUCAACCGAGGAAGCGCAUCGGAAACUGGGAAACUUGAGUGCAGAAGAGGACAGUGGAACUC
rnacentral:rRNA from 1 species